UACGAAGGGGGCUAGCGUUGCUCGGAAUCACUGGGCGUAAAGCGCACGUAGGCGGCUUUCUAAGUCAGGGGUGAAAUCCUGGAGCUCAACUCCAGAACUGCCUUUGAUACUGGAGAGCUUGAGUCCGGAAGAGGUGAGUGGAAUUCCGAGUGUAGAGGUGAAAUUCGUAGAUAUUCGGAAGAAUACCAGUGGCGAAGGCGACUUACUGGACACAUAUUGACGCUGAGGUGCGAAAGCGUGGGGAGCAAACAGG
rnacentral:rRNA from 1 species